AUUGAACGCUGGCGGCACGCCUAACACAUGCAAGUCGAGCGGCAGCGCGAUAUGUAGCAAUACAUAUUGGCGGCGAGCGGCGGACGGGUGAGGAACACGUAGGAACCUACCCUCGAGUGGGGGAUAACCAAGGGAAACUUUGGCUAAUACCGCAUGAUUUCGAGAGAGCAAAGCUGCCGCAAGGUGGCGCUCGAGGAGGGGCCGGCGUCCGAUUAGCUAGUUGGUGAGGUAAGAGCUCACCAAGGCGAUGAUCGGUAACUGGUCUGAGAGGACGACCAGUCACACUGGGACUGAGACACGGCCCAGACUCCUACGGGAGGCAGCAGUGGGGAAUAUUGGACAAUGGGGGCAACCCUGAUCCAGCGAUGCCGCGUGAGUGAAGAAGGCCUUCGGGUCGUAAAGCUCUUUAGGUUGGGAAGAAGAGUGAUGGAGGAAAUGCUAUCACUUUGACGGUACCGACAGAAUAAGCACCGGCAAACUCUGUGCCAGCAGCCGCGGUAACAC
rnacentral:rRNA from 1 species